AACGCUAGCUACAGGCUUAACACAUGCAAGUCGAGGGGUAGCAGGAAGAAAGCUUGCUUUCUUUGCUGACGACCGGCGCACGGGUGAGUAACACGUAUCCAACCUUCCCAUUACUUAGGGAUAGCCUUUCGAAAGAAAGAUUAAUACCUAAUGGUAUAUAGAAUUCGCAUGUUUUCUAUAUUAAAGAAUUUCGGUAAUGGAUGGGGAUGCGUUUCAUUAGGCAGUUGGUGAGGUAACGGCUCACCAAACCUACGAUGAAUAGGGGUUCUGAGAGGAAGGUCCCCCACACUGGUACUGAGACACGGACCAGACUCCUACGGGAGGCAGCAGUGAGGAAUAUUGGUCAAUGGGCGAGAGCCUGAUCCAGCCAAGUAGCGUGAUGGAUGACUGCCCUAUGGGUUGUAAACAUCUUUUAGUUGGGAAUAAAGGACAUUACGUGUAGUGUUUUGUAUGUACCAUCUGAAUAAGGAUCGGCUAACUCCGUGCCAGCAGCCGCGGUAAUACGGAGGAUCCGAGCGUUAUCCGGAUUUAUUGGGUUUAAAGGGUGCGUAGGCGGACUUUUAAGUCAGCUGUGAAAGUUUACGGCUCAACCGUGAAAUUGCAGUUGAAACUGGGAGUCUUGAGUACACAAGAGGAUAGCGGAAUUCGUGGUGUAGCGGUGAAAUGCUUAGAUAUCACGAAGAACUCCGAUUG
rnacentral:rRNA from 1 species